rnacentral:snoRNA from 1 species
CCCCUCUCAGGGUCGCACCUGGAGAGUUUCCAGUACUCUACCAGUCUCGGCUACAGGAGGGAGAGUCAAGCAGAGGUCGACCCAUUCCAUUCCUAGCUCGGGCAGCGGCUAACGAGUGGAAGGCGAUCUGCUACAAAU